CCUUUACCAGCACUUUGCUGUCUGAUCUGCACAACAUAUGCAGGACAGCAAGGCAGUGGGAAGCAGCCUGAAGAGUAGAACACUGAUAUUUUCUUAAAUCAAGGAUUGUCCCAGAAGUUUCAUACACUGAAGUGCUCAGAAAGCAAAGCUCAGAGCAAGUGUCUGCAGUGAAGCAUCUGCAAAGAAGAAACUUCUGAACAGUUGCAGACCUCAUGAAUUCUGCAGGUGUAUUGAACUGCAGUGCUGCACACUUCUAAC